GGGUCUAUAGUUUCAAUUGGUAAAACAGUGGUCUCCAAAACCAUCGUUCGAGGUUCGAGUCCUCGUGGACCCGCAA
rnacentral:tRNA from 2 species